GACGGAGGAUGCAAGCGUUAUCCGGAAUGAUUGGGCGUAAAGCGUCCGCAGGUGGCAGUUCAAGUCUGCUGUCAAAGACCGGGGCUUAACUUCGGAAAGGCAGUGGAAACUGAACAGCUAGAGUAUGGUAGGGGCAGAGGGAAUUCCAGGUGUAGCGGUGAAAUGCGUAGAUAUCUGGAGGAACACCGGUGGCGAAGGCGGCAUCCUGGACCGGCAUUGACGCUGAGGAGCGAAAGCCAGGGGAGCGAAUGGG
rnacentral:rRNA from 1 species